CUGACGUCGUCUGUGCCUAGUGGGGAGGCUAUAUUUUCACUGAUAAAGCUCGGGUUACCAAACUCCGAGGAUAUCUGAGGACAGUUACAGAUUUUUGGUGGCCUGUCCCCCAUGUAAAGGAGGGUACGUUGACUAAAUGUUGCUAGUCUGGCUAUGAUAUUUAAUGGCAGGUUCACAGGGUGUAACGGCAGGAUCGGACCGGCAGGAUCGGACCAAGAUGCGGCGUGUGCCUUGCGGUCGAAGGACGAGCAGUUUCCAUACCAGGCAGUGAUGCAACCAGGAUGCUCUCGAUGGUGCAGCUGUAGAACCUUUUGAGGAUCUGAUGACCCAUAUCAAAUAUUUUCAGUCUCCUGAGGUGGAAUAGGUUUUGUCGUGCCCUCUUCACGACUGUCUUGGUGUGCUUGGACCAUGUUAGUUCGUUGGUGAUGUGGACACCAAGGAACUUGAAGCUCUAAACUUCAGUGGAUUGAGUCACUGAUGUGAUCUUCCUGUCUGGGUUGGCGUCCCCCCUUGGGUUGUGCCGUGGUGGAGAUCUUUGUGGGCUAUACUCGGCCUUGUCUCAGGAUGGUAAGUUGGCGGUUGAAGAUAUCCCUCUAGUGGUGUGGGGGCUGUGCUUUGGCAAAGUGGGUGGAGUUAUAUCCUUCCUGUUUGGCCCUGUCCGGGGAUAUCAUCGGAUGGGGCCACAGUGUCUCCUGACCCCUCCUGUCUCAGCCUCCAGUAUUUAUGCUGCAGUAGUUUAUGUGUCGGGGGGCUAGGGUCAGUUUGUUAUAUCUGGGGUACUUCUCCUAUCUUAUCCGGUGUCCUGUGUGAAUUUAAGUAUGCUCUCUCUAAUUCUCUCUUUCUCUCUUUCUUUCUCUCUCUCGGAGGACCUGAGCCCUAGGACCAUGCCUCAGGACUACCUGGCAUGAUGACUCCUUACUGUCCCCAGUCAACCUGGCCGUGCUGCUGCUCCAGUAUCAACUGUUCUGCCUGCGGCAAUGGAAUCCUGACCUGUUCACCGGACAUGCUACCUGUCCCAGACCUGCUGUUUUCAACUCUCUAGAGACAGUAGAGUGGUAGAGAUUCUCUUAAUGAUCGGCUAUGAAAAGCAAACUGACAUUUACUCCUGAGAUGCUGACUUGCUGCACCCUCGACAACUACUGUGAUUAUUAUUAUUUGACCAUGCUGGUCAUUUAUGAACAUUUGAACAUCUUGGCCAUGUUCUGUUAUAAUCUCCAUCCGGCACAGGUAGAAGAGGACUGGCCACCCCUCAUAGCCUGGUUCCUCUCUAGGUUUCUUCCUAGGUUUUGGCCUUUCUAGGGAGUUUUUCCUAGCCACCGUGCUUCUACACCUGCAUUUCUUGCUGUUUGGGGUUUUAGGCUGGGUUUCUGUACAGCACUUUGAGAUAUCAGCUGAUGUACGAAGGGCUAUAGAAAUAAAUUUGAUUUGAUUUGAUUAAACCUGCUCCACUGCAGCCCAGUCAAUGAGAAUGGGGGCGUGCUCAGUGCUCUUUUUCCUGUAGUCCACUAUCAUCUCCUUUGUCUUGAUCACGUUGAGGGAGAUGUUGUUGUCCUGGCACCACACGGCCAGGUCUCUGACCUCCUCCCUAUUGGCUGUCUCGUCGUUGUCGGUGAUCAGACAACCACUGAUUUGUCAUCGGCAAACGUAAUGAUGGUGUUGCAGUCAUGCCUGGCCGUACAGUCAUGAGUGAACAGGGAGUACAAGAGGGGACUGAAUACGCACCCCUGAGGGGCCCCUGUGUUGAGGAUCACCGUGGCGGAUGUGUUGUUACCUAACCUUACCACCUGGGGGCGGCCCGUCAGUAAGUCCAGGAUCCAGUUUCAGAGGGAUGUGUUUAGUCCCAGGGUCCUUAGCUUAGCGAUGAGCUUUGAGGGCACUAUGGUGUUGAACGCUGAGCUGUAUGAAUAGCAUUCUCACAUAGGUGUUCCUUUUAUCCAGGUGGGAAAGGGCAGUGUGGAGUGCAAUAGAGAUUGCAUCAUCUGUGGAUCUGUUGGGGCGGUAUGCAAAUUGGAGUGGUUCUAGGGUUUCUGGGAUAAUGGUUUUGAUGUGAGCCAUGACCAGCCUUUCAAAACACUUCAUGGCUACAGACGUGAGUGCUACGGGGCGGUAGUCGUUUAGGCAGGUUACCUUAGUGUCCUCAUGGCCUUUCUCUUGCAUUUCAAAGAUUAUGGUAAAAAAAUAUAUAUAAAAAAAGUUGUUUUUUUAUCUUUGUAUUAUCUUUUACCAGAUCUAUUCUGUUAUAUUCUCUUACAUUCCUUUCACAUUUCCACAAACUUCAAAGUGUUUCCUUUCAAAUGGUACCAAGAAUAUGCGUAUCCUUGCUUCAGGGCCUGAGCUACAGGCAGUUAGAUUUGGAUAUGUCAUUUUAAGUGAUUUUUUUUAUUUUUAAAGAGUGUAUCCUUAAGAGUUUUU
ensembl:lncRNA